GACGAACGCUGGCGGCGUGCUUAACACAUGCAAGUCGAACGAUGAACCCGGAGCUUGCUCCGGUGGAUUAGUGGCGAACGGGUGAGUAACACGUGAGUAACCUGCCCUUGACUCUGGGAUAACUGCGGGAAACUGUAGCUAAUACCGGAUACGACCCUCGGCGGCAUCGCCAGGGGGUGGAAAGAAUUUCGGUCAAGGAUGGACUCGCGGCCUAUCAGCUAGUUGGUGAGGUAACGGCUCACCAAGGCGACGACGGGUAGCCGGCCUGAGAGGGUGACCGGCCACACCGGGACUGAGAUACGGCCCAGACUCCUACGGGAGGCAGCAGUGGGGAAUAUUGUACAAUGGGCGCAAGCCUGAUGCAGCGACGCCGCGUGAGGGAUGACGGCCUUCGGGUUGUAAACCUCUUUCACCAGGGACGAAGCGCAAGUGACGGUACCUGGAGAAGAAGCACCGGCCAACUACGUGCCAGCAGCCGCGGUAA
rnacentral:rRNA from 1 species